AUCCUUUCAUAGUUCAUAAGCGUAAUGAUUAAGGUGUUCUCGCUCUUGUGUGAGAUGUGCCUCCAUCAACCCUUUAACAACUUCAGCAUAUCAACCAUCUAACG
rnacentral:snoRNA from 1 species